rnacentral:rRNA from 1 species
UUAAGUUAUUAAGGGCGCACGGUGGAUGCCUUGGCACUAGAAGCCGAUGAAGGACGUUACUAACGACGAUAUGCUUUGGGGAGCUGUAAGUAAGCUUUGAUCCAGAGAUUUCCGAAUGGGGAAACCCAGCAUGAGUUAUGUCAUGUUAUCGAUAUGUGAAUACAUAGCAUAUCAGAAGGCACACCCGGAGAACUGAAACAUCUUAGUACCCGGAGGAAGAGAAAGAAAAUUCGAUUCCCUUAGUAGCGGCGAGCGAAACGGGAAGAGCCCAAACCAACAAGCUUGCUUGUUGGGGUUGUAGGACACUCUGUACGGAGUUACAAAGGACGACAUUAGACGAAUCAUCUGGAAAGAUGAAUCAAAGAAGGUAAUAAUCCUGUAGUCGAAAAUGUUGUCUCUCUUGAGUGGAUCCUGAGUACGACGGAGCACGUGAAAUUCCGUCGGAAUCUGGGAGGACCAUCUCCUAAGGCUAAAUACUCUCUAGUGACCGAUAGUGAACCAGUACCGUGAGGGAAAGGUGAAAAGCACCCCGGAAGGGGAGUGAAAUAGAACCUGAAACCGUGUGCUUACAAGUAGUCAGAGCCCGUUAAUGGGUGAUGGCGUGCCUUUUGUAGAAUGAACCGGCGAGUUACGAUUUGAUGCAAGGUUAAGCAGUAAAUGUGGAGCCGUAGCGAAAGCGAGUCUGAAUAGGGCGUUUAGUAUUUGGUCGUAGACCCGAAACCAGGUGAUCUACCCUUGGUCAGGUUGAAGUUCAGGUAACACUGAAUGGAGGACCGAACCGACUUACGUUGAAAAGUGAGCGGAUGAACUGAGGGUAGCGGAGAAAUUCCAAUCGAACCUGGAGAUAGCUGGUUCUCUCCGAAAUAGCUUUAGGGCUAGCCUCAAGUGAUGAUUAUUGGAGGUAGAGCACUGUUUGGACGAGGGGCCCCUCUCGGGUUACCGAAUUCAGACAAACUCCGAAUGCCAAUUAAUUUAACUUGGGAGUCAGAACAUGGGUGAUAAGGUCCGUGUUCGAAAGGGAAACAGCCCAGACCACCAGCUAAGGUCCCAAAAUAUAUGUUAAGUGGAAAAGGAUGUGGCGUUGCCCAGACAACUAGGAUGUUGGCUUAGAAGCAGCCAUCAUUUAAAGAGUGCGUAAUAGCUCACUAGUCGAGUGACACUGCGCCGAAAAUGUACCGGGGCUAAACAUAUUACCGAAGCUGUGGAUUGUCCUUUGGACAAUGGUAGGAGAGCGUUCUAAGGGCGUUGAAGCAUGAUCGUAAGGACAUGUGGAGCGCUUAGAAGUGAGAAUGCCGGUGUGAGUAGCGAAAGACGGGUGAGAAUCCCGUCCACCGAUUGACUAAGGUUUCCAGAGGAAGGCUCGUCCGCUCUGGGUUAGUCGGGUCCUAAGCUGAGGCCGACAGGCGUAGGCGAUGGAUAACAGGUUGAUAUUCCUGUACCACCUAUAAUCGUUUUAAUCGAUGGGGGGGACGCAGUAGGAUAGGCGAAGCGUGCGAUUGGAUUGCACGUCUAAGCAGUAAGGCUGAGUAUUAGGCAAAUCCGGUACUCGUUAAGGCUGAGCUGUGAUGGGGAGAAGACAUUGUGUCUUCGAGUCGUUGAUUUCACACUGCCGAGAAAAGCCUCUAGAUAGAAAAUAGGUGCCCGUACCGCAAACCGACACAGGUAGUCAAGAUGAGAAUUCUAAGGUGAGCGAGCGAACUCUCGUUAAGGAACUCGGCAAAAUGACCCCGUAACUUCGGGAGAAGGGGUGCUCUUUAGGGUUAACGCCCAGAAGAGCCGCAGUGAAUAGGCCCAAGCGACUGUUUAUCAAAAACACAGGUCUCUGCUAAACCGUAAGGUGAUGUAUAGGGGCUGACGCCUGCCCGGUGCUGGAAGGUUAAGAGGAGUGGUUAGCUUCUGCGAAGCUACGAAUCGAAGCCCCAGUAAACGGCGGCCGUAACUAUAACGGUCCUAAGGUAGCGAAAUUCCUUGUCGGGUAAGUUCCGACCCGCACGAAAGGCGUAACGAUUUGGGCACUGUCUCAACGAGAGACUCGGUGAAAUCAUAGUACCUGUGAAGAUGCAGGUUACCCGCGACAGGACGGAAAGACCCCGUGGAGCUUUACUGUAGCCUGAUAUUGAAAUUCGGCACAGCUUGUACAGGAUAGGUAGGAGCCUUUGAAACGUGAGCGCUAGCUUACGUGGAGGCGCUGGUGGGAUACUACCCUAGCUGUGUUGGCUUUCUAACCCGCACCACUUAUCGUGGUGGGAGACAGUGUCAGGCGGGCAGUUUGACUGGGGCGGUCGCCUCCUAAAAGGUAACGGAGGCGCUCAAAGGUUCCCUCAGAAUGGUUGGAAAUCAUUCAUAGAGUGUAAAGGCAUAAGGGAGCUUGACUGCGAGACCUACAAGUCGAGCAGGGUCGAAAGACGGACUUAGUGAUCCGGUGGUUCCGCAUGGAAGGGCCAUCGCUCAACGGAUAAAAGCUACCCCGGGGAUAACAGGCUUAUCUCCCCAAGAGUUCACAUCGACGGGGAGGUUUGGCACCUCGAUGUCGGCUCAUCGCAUCCUGGGGCUGUAGUCGGUCCCAAGGGGUUGGGCUGUUCGCCCAUUAAAGCGGUACGCGAGCUGGGUUCAGAACGUCGUGAGACAGUUCGGUCCCUAUCCGUCGUGGGCGUAGGAAAUUUGAGAGGAGCUGUCCUUAGUACGAGAGGACCGGGAUGGACAUACCUCUGGUGUACCAGUUGUCGUGCCAACGGCAUAGCUGGGUAGCUAUGUGUGGACGGGAUAAGUGCUGAAAGCAUCUAAGCAUGAAGCCCCCCUCAAGAUGAGAUUUCCCAACUUCGGUUAUAAGAUCCCUCAAAGAUGAUGAGGUUAAUAGGUUCGAGGUGGAAGCAUGGUGACAUGUGGAGCUGACGAAUACUAAUCGAUCGAAGACUUAAUC